rnacentral:lncRNA from 1 species
CUUAACUAUUUUUAAGUGUAUAGUUCAGCAGCAUUAAGUACUUUCACAUUACCUUAUAACCAUCAUCAGCAUUCAUCUUCAGAAACUUUCAUGUUCCCAAAUCGAAACUUCUAUUGAUUUAACAAUAAUUCCCCAUUCCCUCUCCCCCUUCAGCUCUGGCAACCACCAUUCUGCUUUUUGUCUCUGUGAACUCAUGGCUGUAGAUACCUCACAUAAGUUAAAUCAUAAGUUCUUUUGUGACCAGUUUAUUUCACAUAACAUAAUGUUUUCAUGGUUCUUUGACGUUGUAAUGUAUGUCACAAUUUCCUUCCUUUUUAAAACUGGAUAGUAUUCCUCUGUGUUCAUGUGUGUGUGUGUGUGUGUGUGUGUGUACAAAUGCCACAUUUUGUUUGUCUACCCAUUUAUCAGUGGACACUGGAUUGCCUCUACCUUUUGUCUAUUAUGAAUUAUGCUGCUAUGAAUAUGUACAUAUAAGUAUCUACCUGAGUUUUUGCUUUCAGUACUUUUGGAUAUGUGACCAGAAGUCAAAUUGCUGGAUAAUGGUAAUUCCAUGUUUAAUUUUCUGAGGAACUGCCAUAUCAUUUUCCACAGUGGUUUCACAAUGUUUUUUUUUUUUUUCUUUUUAACUCAGUUUGUACAAUGUUUGGCAGAGUCUAAGUGUGCACAGCAUGAAUAUGACAGAAAAUAAUGCAAAGUUCAGAGUAAAUAAUUUGCUGAGUGAUUCAGCAAGACAGCUAUUGAAUCAAAACAACCUUCCCUACACACACACCCUUGCCUGGCUGCAUACUUUAAUGUACACACUUUGAAAUGAGUGUAUAGUUGGAGAUAAUCCCUUUGAGAAUCAUGAGUUAAUGCAUUUGGAUUCCAUAUGGGUCAGAUCCUCUUGUAAAAUUUGGACCUUUUUCCAUGAAAUUCCACAUUUAAAGAAACCCAGAAGGCUUGCCAGAGGUUCAAAAGGGGACAGAACUACAAAGGUGACCCACAGAUAUGGGGAUUAGGACUUGUGAGUGAAGAUGAACCAAAAAAUCCUGAUACAGAUUAUGUGAACUCUGAUUGGGGCCCUACUCCAUUUUCUCCAUUCCAUUCCCUCACCUUUGCAGUAUAGCAC